rnacentral:rRNA from 1 species
UAGGGAAUCUUCGGCAAUGGACGAAAGUCUGACCGAGCAACGCCGCGUGAGUGAAGAAGGUUUUCGGAUCGUAAAACUCUGUUGUUAGAGAAGAACAAGGACGUUAGUAACUGAACGUCCCCUGACGGUAUCUAACCAGAAAGCCACGGCUAACUACGUGCCAGCAGCCGCGGUAAUACGUAGGUGGCAAGCGUUGCCGGAUUUAUUGGGCGUAAAGCGAGCGCAGGCGGGUUCUUAAGGCUGAUGUGAAAGCCCCCGGCUCAACCGGGGAGGGUCAUUGGAAACUGGGAGACUUGAGUGCAGAAGAGGAGAGUGGAAUUCCAUGUGUAGCGGUGAAAUGCGUAGAUAUAUGGAGGAACACCAGUGGCGAAGGCGGCUCUCUGGUCUGUAACUGACGCUGAGGCUCGAAAGCGUGGGGAGCAAACAGG